rnacentral:rRNA from 1 species
GACGAACGCUGGCGGCGUGCUUAACACAUGCAAGUCGAACGGAAAGGCCCUGCUUUUGUGGGGUGCUCGAGUGGCGAACGGGUGAGUAACACGUGAGUAACCUGCCCUUGGCUUUGGGAUAACUUCAGGAAACUGGGGCUAAUACCGGAUAGGAGCUCCUGCUGCAUGGUGGGGGGUGGAAAGUUUCGGCGGUUGGGGAUGGACUCGCGGCUUAUCAGCUUGUUGGUGGGGUAGUGGCUUACCAAGGCUUUGACGGGUAGCCGGCCUGAGAGGGUGACCGGCCACAUUGGGACUGAGAUACGGCCCAGACUCCUACGGGAGGCAGCAGUGGGGAAUAUUGCACAAUGGGCGGAAGCCUGAUGCAGCAACGCCGCGUGCGGGAUGACGGCCUUCGGGUUGUAAACCGCUUUCGCCUGUGACGAAGCGUGAGUGACGGUAAUGGGUAAAGAAGCACCGGCUAACUACGUG